rnacentral:rRNA from 1 species
GAAUCUUGCGCAAUGGGCGAAAGCCUGACGCAGCAACGCCGCGUGGAGGAUGAAGGCCUUUGGGUUGUAAACUCCUGUCGGCUGGGAAGAAAUCAUACGGCGCUCAUACCGCCGUAUGUUGACUGUACCAGCAAAGGAAGCCCCGGCUAACUCUGUGCCAGCAGCCGCGGUAAUACAGAGGGGGCCAGCGUUAUUCGGAAUUAUUGGGCGUAAAGGGCGCGUAGGCGGCCAUGCGUGUCUUCCGUGAAAUCCCUCGGCUUAACUGAGGACGUGCGGAAGAAACUGCAAGGCUCGAGUCCGGGAGAGGGGGGUGGAAUUCCCAGUGUAGCGGUGAAAUGCGUAGAUAUUGGGAGGAACACCGGUGGCGAAGGCGGCCCCCUGGACCGGUACUGACGCUGAGGCGCGAAAGCGUGGGUAGCAAACGG